rnacentral:ncRNA from 1 species
AAAAAAAUAUAAAAAAUUUGAUUUUGGUUUUUUAUUUUGGGUAAAUAAAUUUUGUGCAUGUAAGAUUUUUUAAGUUUACAAUUUCUUAAUGAUUAAACAGCAUAUUUUCAGUGCAUAAUUUUUUAAAAAUUUUAAUUAAAUUGAAGAAAUUUAUUUAAUAUCUGUAAAAUGUUGUGCCAGCAUUCGCGGUUAUACAUCAGGGUAAAUUCAAUAUUUUUGGUUAGGAGAUAGUUUUUUAGAAUUUAGAUUAUUUAGGUGAAAUUUAUUUUCUAAUAUUUUAUUAUUCUUUGUAUGCUUUUUAAUAAACCAGGAUUAGAUACCCUGUUAUUUAAGAUUAAAUUGUUAUAACCAGGUAGUAGUUUUAAAAUAUGAAAUUUAAUAAAUCUGGCGGUUUAUAAAUCUCUUUAGAGGAACCUGUAAUUUAAAUGAUAGUCCACGAUUAAUUUUACCUUAUUUAUCUUGUAUAUCGCUGUCGUUGAAUGUAUUGAAAGGUAAAUUUUCUUAAUUUUUAUAAAGAUUUAUGUUAGGUCAAGAUGCAGUUAUAAUAAGGAUUUUAUGGGUUACAUUAAUAAAGUUUGGGAAUAAUGAUUUUUUUAUUAAUUUGAAUUUGGAUUUAAAAGUAAAUUGAUUUAUUAAAUUGAUUGAAUACUGCUCUUAUUUAUGUACAUAUCGCCCGUCAUUCUCAUAAAAUGAGACAAGUCGUAACAAAGUAGAUGUACCGGAAGGUGUAUCUAGAAA